rnacentral:rRNA from 1 species
AGGAUGAACGCUGGCGGCGUGCUUAAUACAUGCAAGUCGAGCGGUAAGGUCCCUUCGGGGAUACACGAGCGGCGGACGGCUGAGUAACACGUAGGAACGUACCCCAAAGUGAGGCAUAAGCACCAGAAAUGGUGUCUAAUACCGCAUAUGGCCCUCGGGUUAAAGCUUUCGGGCGCUUUGGGAACGGCCUGCGCAUGAUUAGCUUGUUGGUGAGGUAAUGGCUCACCAAGGCGACGAUCAUUAGCUGGUCUGAGAGGAUGAUCAGCCAGACUGGGACUGAGAACGGCCCAGACUCCUACGGGAGGCAGCAGUAGGGAAUUUUCCACAAUGGGCGAAAGCCUGAUGGAGCAACGCCGCGUGCAGGAUGAAGGCCUUAGGGUUGUAAACUGCUUUUAUAUGUGACGAUAAUGACGGUAGCAUAUGAAUAAGGAUCGGCUAACUCCGUGCCAGCGCCGGGUAA